GACGAACGCUGGCGGCGUGCUUAACACAUGCAAGUCGAACGGAAAGGCCCUGCUUUUGUGGGGUGCUCGAGUGGCGAACGGGUGAGUAACACGUGAGUAACCUGCCCUUGACUUUGGGAUAACUUCAGGAAACUGGGGCUAAUACCGGAUAGGAGCUCCUGCUGCAUGGUGGGGGUUGGAAAGUUUCGGCGGUUGGGGAUGGACUCGCGGCUUAUCAGCUUGUUGGUGGGGUAGUGGCUUACCAAGGCUUUGACGGGUAGCCGGCCUGAGAGGGUGACCGGCCACAUUGGGACUGAGAUACGGCCCAGACUCCUACGGGAGGCAGCAGUGGGGAAUAUUGCACAAUGGGCGGAAGCCUGAUGCAGCAACGCCGCGUGCAGGAUGACGGCCUUCGGGUUGUAAACCGCCUUCGCCUGUGACGAAGCGUGAGUGACGGUAAUGGGUAAAGAAGCACCGGCUAACUACGUG
rnacentral:rRNA from 1 species